CAGCAGCCACGGGAAUACGUAGGUGGCAAGCGUUGUCCGGAAUUAUUGGGCGUAAAGCGCGCGCAGGCGGAUCGGUCAGUCUGUCUUAAAAGUUCGGGGCUUAACCCCGUGAUGGGAUGGAAACUGCCAAUCUAGAGUAUCGGAGAGGAAAGUGGAAUUCCUAGUGUAGCGGUGAAAUGCGUAGAUAUUAGGAAGAACACCAGUGGCGAAGGCGACUUUCUGGACGAAAACUGACGCUGAGGCGCGAAAGCCAGGGGAGCGAACGGGAUUAGAUACCCGCGUAGUCCCUGUCUCUUAUACA
rnacentral:rRNA from 1 species